GAUGAACGCUGGCGGCGUGCCUAAUACAUGCAAGUCGAGCGAACAGACGAGGAGCUUGCUCCUCUGACGUUAGCGGCGGACGGGUGAGUAACACGUGGAUAACCUACCUAUAAGACUGGGAUAACUUCGGGAAACCGGAGCUAAUACCGGAUAAUAUAUUGAACCGCAUGGUUCAAUAGUGAAAGACGGUUUUGCUGUCCCUUAUAGAUGGAUCCGCGCCGCAGGAGCUAGUUGGUAAGGUAACGGCUUACCAAGGCAACGAUGCGUAGCCGACCUGAGAGGGUGAUCGGCCACGAGGGAACGGAGACAAGGCACAGACUCCUACGGGAGGCAGCGGUAGGGACUCUUCUGCGAUGGGCGAAAUCCUGACGGAUCAACGCCAGGCGAGUGAUGAAGGUCUUCGUAUCGUAAAACGCUGUUAUGAGGGAAGAACAAAUGUGUAAGUAACUAUGCACGUCGUGACGGUACCUAAUCAGAAAGCCACGGCUAACUACGUG
rnacentral:rRNA from 1 species